rnacentral:tRNA from 1 species
GCCUGGGUGGCUCAGUUGGUUGAGCAACCGACUUCGACUUGGGUCAUGAUCUCACAGUUUGUGGGUUCGAGCCCUGUGUCGGGCU